AUUGAACGCUGGCGGCAGGCCUAACACAUGCAAGUCGGGCGGUAACACAGGGAGCUUGCUCCUGGGUGACGAGCGGCGGACGGGUGAGUAAUGUCUGGGAAACUGCCUGAUGGAGGGGGAUAACUACUGGAAACGGUAGCUAAUACCGCAUAACGUCGCAAGACCAAAGAGGGGGACCUUCGGGCCUCUUGCCAUCAGAUGUGCCCAGAUGGGAUUAGCUAGUAGGUGGGGUAAUGGCCCACCUAGGCGACGAUCCCUAGCUGGUCUGAGAGGAUGACCAGCCACACUGGAACUGAGACACGGUCCAGACUCCUACGGGAGGCAGCAGUGGGGAAUAUUGCACAAUGGGCGCAAGCCUGAUGCAGCCAUGCCGCGUGUAUGAAGAAGGCCUUCGGGUUGUAAAGUACUUUCAGCGAGGAGGAAGGCAUUAAGGUUAAUAACCUUGGUGAUUGACGUUACUCGCAGAAGAAGCACCGGCUAACUCCGUGCCAGCCGCCGCAGUAA
rnacentral:rRNA from 1 species